rnacentral:lncRNA from 1 species
AGUGACGCAGGAAGCAAGGUCAUCAGCGGAGAUGAGCAUCGUGGAGGAGACAAUGGUGUGCAGAGGAUCCAUGCCACCAGCCCUGCAGACCCUCUAGCAAGAGGGGCGAGAAUUGUCAGAGACCAGGCCUGGCUCAUUUAUUUGUAUACGUACCGUGCAAACAUUUUUGAACUGUCUUCUAUUCUCCAUCUGCUUUAUCUAUGUUUACUCCAUAUGCUUCUUGGCAGCAAGCUAGCUGCCUUCUUGUUCAUUUUUAACUUACAAGAGGUCCUCUUCCUCCCUCUCCCUGGGUUGCCUCUGUGGAUGCUAUUAUCUUUUCAACAAUCAAUGUUUGGCAAUAGCCCAGGUACAGAACGGCUAGGUCUAGAGACCAUUCCUCAAUUGAGAGCCCAGAAUACUAUUUUAAAUAAAUGUGCAGAUUUAGAAAAAGGACAAAUAUCAAGUAAAUCUUGUCUAUGAUGCCCCAUCAAGUAAUAUUCCUGAAGAUUAGCUGCUAGAACCUAUGAAUCUCAGGACCUAUAAAUAACCUGCUUUUGACAAGCAACAUAUAUACAUUUUCUUUAAGAGCUAAAUGUCAGGAAAUUCAUUCCUGGAGAUCUACACGAAGACACGCAUGUCGACAUGCUGCUACCUCUGUAAUAAAUGUGGAGAUGUAAAAUACAGAUCAUAUCGCCGAAUUUUUCACGUCCUCAUCAGCCACCUCAAAGAAUCAAAGAUGAGGAAGUCCUCACUGAAAUCAAGGAUUGCAACUUUCUCUAGAGGCAAUUUCCAUUCUCAUGUUUUUUCUCCCAGACCCAGACUAUUAAAAUUGGAAGAGGAAUAUAGAAUGAAAAAUCAGGCUCAAACCUUUCACAGAUGAAUGUACGACAAGAAUAGAGGUGGAUUGCAGUUUUGCAUUGAUUAUGAACAGCCGUAUCUAUAGACAUAUUGAUGAAUCCCAUGGAGAGAAGCAAUCGAGUUCUGUGAACAUGGUUAUAUGAGUAUUUUUAAGCCUACAAUGUUAUCAAGAGCACAUAAGGUGAAUGGCCUAAGAAAAUGCAGAGUGUGAAUCAUUUCAUUCAACACUAGUUUAAUUUGCAAGUCCAGAUUUGAAUCUAAAUCCAUAGGGAUAAAAAUAAACCUCAACUUAAAUUUUG